rnacentral:rRNA from 1 species
GAGUUUGAUCCUGGCUCAGGACGAACGCUGGCGGCGUGCUUCAUACAUGCAAGUCGAACGGGUAUCAGCUGGUGGCAACACCAGCGAAGUACUAGUGGCGAACGGGUGAGUAUCACGUGAGGAACUUGCCCCGGACUCUGGGAUAACAGGUGGAAACACCUGCUAAUACCGGAUGCCAUCGGUGGAUCGCAUGGUCUACCGAUGAAAGAAUUUCGGUCCGGGAUGGCCUCGCGGCCUAUCAGCUAGUUGGUGGGGUAACGGCCUACCAAGGCAUCGACGGGUAGCUGGUCUGAGAGGAUGAUCAGCCACACUGGGACUGAGACAC